UACAGAGGAGCCAAGCGUUGUCCGGAUUGACUGGGCGUAAAGCGCACGCAGGCGGACGCGCGCGUGGGGUGUGAAAUCUGGCCGCUUAACGGCCAGGCGCCAUCCCAUACGGCGCGUCUGGAGCAAUGCAGAGGUCGGUGGAAUUGCCGGUGAGUGGUGAAAUGCGUAGAGAUCGGCAGGAACACCCAGGGGGAAACCAGCCGACUGGG
rnacentral:rRNA from 1 species